AGACGUAAUUAAGUGAGCCCCAGCGUAAACGUACUCCACGGAUUCAACCUGCUGUGAACAGUGAUCGAUUGUCAUCUGAUUUUUGACCUACAUACACCCCAAAGGCUCUUUUCAGAGCCAUUUUACCAAGCAUCUUUGCAUCUUUGUACAUAGUGCCGGUUUUCCUUCAGUAGUGCCAGUUUUCCUGAGGUGCGGUUUCCCGAACAGGGAUUAGACAGAGCUGUCCAAACUGAAAACAACUUGCAGUGACAUCUUAAAACACAUCAGUGCUCUUUGGUUUGGCUCAAAAUGCACACAAGUAGGGGUGGUUUCCCGAACGGGUAUUAUUUUAUGCCGGGAUUAGGCCUUAGUAUAAUUAGGAAUUAUAACUAGUUUUCAACAAACAUGCCUUACUAAAACAUUACUGGUGUCCAUUUUGAGUCUAAACAAAGGACACUAAUGUAUUUUAUAGGGGUGUAACGAUUAACCGUGCAAAUGCGCGUUUUCUCAAUGAAUGAAUUUGAAUGAAUUACGGUGAAAUCCGGCACAUCCGAACGCCAGGGGGCGAUCUCAUGCAGAAACUCCCUGUGUGCCACACAAGAAGUAUCAUUGCAAACACUAUUCCAGGAAAUGUCUACACAGGAAUAUUUAUACGCUGUUCUUCAAAUUGUUUCAGGUAUUUUCAUGAUAAUAAAGAAUAUUUCGAAUGAUUUUGCUUAACGAGUGUUGCUUUUUUAAAUACACGCUAUAAACGACUCUGACUCAUAAUAAUUUUAGAUUGAUAAGGACUUCCUACUGACCAAAUGCCGUAGUACACACACAAGCUGUGCAUAAAACAAAGAAUCGCAGCCUUGCGAUUCAGAAUCGAUUUCAGACAGGCAUUUUUAAUGGGGACCGCGAUUGAAUCGUUACAUCCCUGGUAUUUUAAGAUAUAUCAGUGCACAUUUAUUUUAGUCUAGGACUAAUCUAAUCCCUGUCCGGGAAACCGCCCCGUAAUGUUUUUAGUAAGGAAUGUUUGUUGAAACUAGUUAUAUUUCCUAAUUAAACUAAGGCCUAGUCUUAGCUUAAGAUAAUCCCUGUCUGGGAAACCACUCCAUAAUGUCCCAUGUUUAAGACUGCAUAUCUAUACACACGCAUGUAAUAACUUUCACCUAUUUGCUUGUCUUAAUUAUUGGCAUCCUAAGAUAUUUUAUAACUGCCUGGCACAUUCUUGGAGAUUGACUUUAAUAAUAACAUAAUUCUCAACAUUUGGUAAUGACUGUACUGUAAUUGUGUGUCAACAAUUGCAAAUAACAUAUUAAUGUUCUUUCUUUCAUUUAUUAGAUUUUACCUCGUCCUCCACUGCCUCCAGUAAUUCCUGGUUUUAAGGAAGGCUCCGAUGUUUUGAAGGUCGAUAAAGGUGUAAAAGACGAUUGACUUGGCUUAGCGAAAUGAUGAAGAUUGGCAAGCCUUUCAGUUCGUGGGCUAAGAAAACCAAACAGGUAACAGUUGCGUGUCUUUGCACAGUAUGACUAACGUAAGGGGUCCUGUAUUUUGGGGGUAAAUGAUUUCUCACGUUACUGAUCAUCCGCGGCACGCUUUUUAAUGCUAUGCUGAUAUAGCCAGUGGCUGGUACAACGGGUUUGUUUAACUCGUGGGUAAACUUCAUGUGGCGCCACAACAACCAAAAGGCAGAUGACAUCCAAAUCCCUUGAGAGCGAUUGACGAGGAAUCAUAAGAGGAGACUGCUUCCGAAACGCUCUCGCGGGACUUUGAUGUCAUCCACCUGUCGGUUCUUGCAGUUGCAUUUGCGUGUGGUCACAAAAACGUAACAUUUGUACAUAUAUUUAAGCACAGCCGUUUAAAAACAAGUGAUUUUAAGCCAUUCAAACUCAAACAAAAGUGCUUCCGCUGUUUCUGUGUCAGAGGAGCACGCUAGCCGCGCAUUCGUUUCUCAUUCUCAUUGAGCUUGUGUUGUAUGUAUUUUUGCCGCUUUAUUGGCCUUAAAUAACACAUAUGCCUCAAAAAUCCCGUCUUUGCAAAUAUCCUCAUAUAAACACGACCAUUUAGGUUUUAGGAGAAAGUAAACAGCAGAAACAUUGCGCAUAAACUAGCACAUCAGCGCUGCCUCUAUUGUAACAUAAUAAUUUGUUGAUAAAGGUACAGUGGUAGAAAAGAGACCGCACUCAGGGACUUAAUCAGAUCCAAAAACUGUAUUAAAAUUGAUAAAGGUACAGUCAUUCAAUUAACAACUGUCACUAUAGUUACAGACAUCCUGUGCGAAUUCUACACUAGUUUUAUUCGAGUUACUCGUUCAGGGUUUAUAUUCAUACAUAACGUUACUGUAUUAGAGCUGUGACUGUAAACUGUUGUGUGAACAGAACAGACCCUGGAUUAUUCGUUUAUGUGCACUGAAUAAUAUGAUAUGAAAAAGUUGUAUUUGUUCACAUUAGUAAAUGCAUUAUAUAACAUAAACAAACAAUGAAAAAUAUAGAGUAUAUAAGCAUUAAUUAAUUCUUGUUUAUGUCAUUACAGUAAUUGACGGUGGUUCAUUCACUAAUGUUAACAGUUUCAACUUUGAUUAAAAAAUUAUUAGUAAAUGCUAAAAUAAAUACAUUUACAAUUAAUAAAUAAUUAAUAAAAUAUUCAUUAAAGGUGGUGAAAUUCAUGUUUUCUUUUUAUGCAGUAUAGUGAGUUAUUUAGCUGUUUCGCCUUAAUCUGAAAUGCCCUGCAAACUACAGCUACCUAUAUAUGCCACAGGAGACUUCAAUAUGGAAUUUAUGGCAAAAAAAUCUCCCCUUAAAAUGCUAUUGGUUUGCCUACAUAAAGUGUUAGGUAAAGGAAUAUGACUUGGCCUGUAAAAUAAUUCAGUCAGAAGAAUUUUUUUCAAUUUUUAUUUUUUUUUGUAUGUUAUAUAUGUCAAAAUCUUUGUAAAUAAUAGAAAGGUCGCUGAUUAACACUUGCAAUUCAGUGUCGUGAUGGUUUUAAAAAAUAUUCUGAAGGUAGUAAAAAAGGUAGUAAAAAGUAGUAAAUUUAACUUAAGGAUUUCUGUAUAAACCCUGAACCCUGACUUCCUAAAUAUUCUAAAUUUGAAUACAAAAAUCUGGGCUUGAUUUGGUUUUUCUGAAGGUGUUCAAAAGAUUUACUGUUUUUGAUCCUCUGGGUCUAAACGACCCUACAAUGUGAAUAAGACAAGUUACAAUUUCUUAAUAGUUUAAUUUGUCGAAAAAAUAAAUGCAUCCAAUAUUAAUGUGAAAAUAAUGUACAUGUACAAAUCCCCGGUUCUAGAGAACAAACGUACAUACUUUCUUAAGCACACACAAACACACAAGUGUGAUUGUAACGUAGAGUUUUUUUUUUUACAGAUGUUAUAUAUACAUCAGGGUUACCCUGAUAUACAUAGUCAUCAUUUAGUUAUUAUUGAAGAGCCACACAGAUCCAAAAUCGAAACUGACCUGUAUUGCAGUGUGUCAUGUAGCUGUCCAUCAAUGUAAACAAUGUGCAAAGUAGUUGAACCAAAAAGUGCACAAUUAAUAAAGUUAUUGGCUUCUAAAGUAGGGAGUCGACUCUGACUCACUGAAACGAGUCGUUAUAUGGACUGAUUCUCCUGCCUGAUAUUUUCCACGUCACACGAACACUUCCACGUCACACGAGAUACUAAUCUCCGCCUACAGCCUUGCCUGCGGGAGAAACGAAAACUAUGACCUGCCCACAGCUAGUUAGUGUGUAAACAUCAUGCUGUGUUUUCAGUUUGUGCUGUUUUCACUACCAAAGGAGACAUUUUCAAGGAGGGUAUACUAAAUAUUUGGCUGUGAAGAAUCUGUGGUUAAAAUUAGGGGUCGACCGAUUAUCAAUCUGGCCGAUUAUAGAGGUCGAUAUUAAGCAUUUUGCCGGCUAUCGACAUCGGACAUUUUAAAAGCCUAUUUGCCGAUAAUGUAAUUUGAUUUUGAAAUGCACUAUUUCGGCUCUGACGCAGCCAUGGAUUUAGUGAGAGCUGUCGGAACACGGAACAGGGCACUCUAUACGCACAACCGGCGCAGCGUCAUAGAAUGUCUCUGAACAGGUUCACCCCACUUUUGGGGGAAAUCAGACUAGACCUUCCAUUGGCUUCCAUUCUAAAUAG